UACGAAGGGGGCUAGCGUUGUUCGGAAUUACUGGGCGUAAAGCGCACGUAGGCGGAUUGUUAAGUCAGGGGUGAAAUCCCGGGGCUCAACCCCGGAACUGCCUUUGAUACUGGCAUUCUCGAGUCCGGAAGAGGUGAGUGGAAUUCCGAGUGUAGAGGUGAAAUUCGUAGAUAUUCGGAGGAACACCAGUGGCGAAGGCGGCUCACUGGUCCGGAACUGACGCUGAGGCACGAAAGCGUGGGGAGCAAACAGG
rnacentral:rRNA from 1 species